CUUCAACCUAGCGUUUUCCCGGCCUAGCGCCAGGGUCCGCUUUCCUGCUUAGUCUUCUCUACUUUGCCCGGUCUUCGGCAUCCUCAUCCAGCGCUUCUUAGGCCUACCGCGGCCGCGUGAUCUAGGGCCUUGGACAGUGAGAUUCAGGCAUCUAUUUCCGACGUAGUCUACCGGUCUGCGGCGUAUAUGGCCAUACCAUCGGAGGCGACUUUCCUGCAGCUUAUCCGCUACGUCACGGAUUCCGAGGCUGCCACGGAUGUGUUCG